rnacentral:tRNA from 1 species
GGUAGCUUGGCCGAGUGGUUAAGGCGGCAGACUUAAGAUCUGUUGGACAGUUGUCCGCGCGAGUUCGAACCUCGUAGCUACCA